rnacentral:rRNA from 1 species
UACGAAGGUGGCAAGCGUUGUUCGGAAUCACUGGGCGUAAAGGGUGCGUAGGCGGGUCUUUAAGUCAGGGGUGAAAUCCUGGAGCUCAACUCCAGAACUGCCUUUGAUACUGAAGAUCUUGAGUUCGGGAGAGGUGAGUGGAACUGCGAGUGUAGAGGUGAAAUUCGUAGAUAUUCGCAAGAACACCAGUGGCGAAGGCGGCCCACUGGCCCGAUACUGACGCUGAGGCACGAAAGCGUGGGGAGCAAACAGG